UGGGGAAUAUUGCACAAUGGGCGCAAGCCUGAUGCAGCCAUGCCGCGUGUGUGAAGAAGGCCUUCGGGUUGUAAAGCACUUUCAGCGGGGAGGAAGGCGGUGAGGUUAAUAACCUCAUCGAUUGACGUUACCCGCAGAAGAAGCACCGGCUAACUCCGUGCCAGCAGCCGCGGUAAUACGGAGGGUGCAAGCGUUAAUCGGAAUUACUGGGCGUAAAGCGCACGCAGGCGGUUGAUUGAGUCAGAUGUGAAAUCCCCGGGCUUAACCCGGGAAUUGCAUCUGAUACUGGUCAGCUAGAGUCUUGUAGAGGGGGGUAGAAUUCCAUGUGUAGCGGUGAAAUGCGUAGAGAUGUGGAGGAAUACCGGUGGCGAAGGCGGCCCCCUGGACAAAGACUGACGCUCAGGUGCGAAAGCGUGGGGAGCAAACAGG
rnacentral:rRNA from 1 species